UAAGGUCUAACCUGCCCAAUGAGGAUUUAAAUGGCCGCAGUAUUUUGACUGUGCAAAGGUAGCAUAAUUAUUAGUUUUUUAAUUGAAAGCUUGUAUGAAGGGUUGGACGAAAUAAAGUCUGUCUUUAUUUAAAUUAAAAUAGAAUUUAACUUUUAAGUCAAAAGGCUUAAAUUUUAAUAAAAGACGAGAAGACCCUAUAGAUCUUUAUUUAAUUAAUAUUUUAAUAAUUUAGGAUUAAUUUAGUUUAAAUUAUUAGUUAAAUUUUAUUGGGGUAAUAUAAAGAUUAAUAUAAUUCUUUUUAUUUAUUACAUUGAUUUAUGAAUUUAUGAUCCAAUAUUGUUGAUUAAAAGAUUAAGUUACCUUAGGGAUAACAGCGUAAUUUUUUUGGAGAGCUCUUAUCGAUAAAAAAGUUUGCGACCUCGAUGUUGGAUUAAAAGUUAGCUUGGGUGCAGAAGCUCAAGAUUUUGGUCUGUUCGACCAUUAAAUUUUUACAUGAUCUGAGUUCAGACCGGCGUAAGCCAGGUCGGUUUCUAUCUUUAUUUAGUUAAAAUAUUUUAGUACGAAAGGACCAAAUAUUUGAUAUAUUUAUAUUUAUUUUUUGAACAAUUUUAUUACUUUGGCAGAAUAGUGCAAUGAAUUUAGAAUUCAUAAAUGUAAUCAUAUUACAAGUAAUACUUGUAUUUAGGAGAUUUAUUAUUAAUAUUAUUAUGUAUAUUAGUUCUUGUAAUUUGUGUAUUAGUAGGAGUGGCUUUUUUGACUUUAUUAGAACGUAAAGUUUUAGGUUAUAUUCAAAUUCGAAAGGANCCCAAUAAGGUUGGAUUUUAU
rnacentral:rRNA from 1 species